rnacentral:rRNA from 1 species
UUAAGCGACUAAGCGUACACGGUGGAUGCCCUGGCAGUCAGAGGCGAUGAAGGACGUGCUAAUCUGCGAAAAGCGUCGGUAAGGUGAUAUGAACCGUUAUAACCGGCGAUGUCCGAAUGGGGAAACCCAGUGCAAUUCGUUGCACUAUCGUUAACUGAAUACAUAGGUUAACGAGGCGAACCGGGGGAACUGAAACAUCUAAGUACCCCGAGGAAAAGAAAUCAACCGAGAUUCCCCCAGUAGCGGCGAGCGAACGGGGAGCAGCCCAGAGUCUGAAUCAGCUUGUGUGUUAGUGGAACGGUCUGGAAAGUCCGACGGUACAGGGUGAUAGUCCCGUACACCAAAAUGCACAGGCUGUGAACUCGAAGAGUAGGGCGGGACACGUGGUAUCCUGUCUGAAUAUGGGGGGACCAUCCUCCAAGGCUAAAUACUCCUGACUGACCGAUAGUGAACCAGUACCGUGAGGGAAAGGCGAAAAGAACCCCGGCGAGGGGAGUGAAAAAGAACCUGAAACCGUGUACGUACAAGCAGUGGGAGCACCUUCGGGUGUGACUGCGUACCUUUUGUAUAAUGGGUCAGCGACUUAUAUUCUGUAGCAAGGUUAACCGUAUAGGGGAGCCGCAGGGAAACCGAGUCUUAACUGGGCGUUAAGUUGCAGGGUAUAGACCCGAAACCCGGUGAUCUAGCCAUGGGCAGGUUGAAGGUUGGGUAACACUAACUGGAGGACCGAACCGACUAAUGUUGAAAAAUUAGCGGAUGACUUGUGGCUGGGGGUGAAAGGCCAAUCAAACCGGGAGAUAGCUGGUUCUCCCCGAAAGCUAUUUAGGUAGCGCCUCGUGAAUUCAUCUUCGGGGGUAGAGCACUGUUUCGGCUAGGGGGUCAUCCCGACUUACCAACCCGAUGCAAACUACGAAUACCGAAGAAUGUUAUCACGGGAGACACACGGCGGGUGCUAACGUCCGUCGUGAAGAGGGAAACAACCCAGACCGCCAGCUAAGGUCCCAAAGUCAUGGUUAAGUGGGAAACGAUGUGGGAAGGCACAGACAGCCAGGAUGUUGGCUUAGAAGCAGCCAUCAUUUAAAGAAAGCGUAAUAGCUCACUGGUCGAGUCGGCCUGCGCGGAAGAUGUAACGGGGCUAAACCAUGCACCGAAGCUGCGGCAGCGACACUAUGUGUUGUUGGGUAGGGGAGCGUUCUGUAAGCCUGCGAAGGUGGCCUGUGAGGGUUGCUGGAGGUAUCAGAAGUGCGAAUGCUGACAUAAGUAACGAUAAAGCGGGUGAAAAGCCCGCUCGCCGGAAGACCAAGGGUUCCUGUCCAACGUUAAUCGGGGCAGGGUGAGUCGACCCCUAAGGCGAGGCCGAAAGGCGUAGUCGAUGGGAAACAGGUUAAUAUUCCUGUACUUGGUGUUACUGCGAAGGGGGGACGGAGAAGGCUAUGUUAGCCGGGCGACGGUUGUCCCGGUUUAAGCAUGUAGGCUGGUUAUCCAGGCAAAUCCGGAUAAUCAAGGCUGAGGUGUGAUGACGAGGCACUACGGUGCUGAAGUAACAAAUGCCCUGCUUCCAGGAAAAGCCUCUAAGCAUCAGGUAACAUCAAAUCGUACCCCAAACCGACACAGGUGGUCAGGUAGAGAAUACCAAGGCGCUUGAGAGAACUCGGGUGAAGGAACUAGGCAAAAUGGUGCCGUAACUUCGGGAGAAGGCACGCUGGUGUGUAGGUGAAGUCCCUGCGGAUGGAGCUGAGACCAGUCGAAGAUACCAGCUGGCUGCAACUGUUUAUUAAAAACACAGCACUGUGCAAACACGAAAGUGGACGUAUACGGUGUGACGCCUGCCCGGUGCCGGAAGGUUAAUUGAUGGGGUUAUCCGUAAGGAGAAGCUCUUGAUCGAAGCCCCGGUAAACGGCGGCCGUAACUAUAACGGUCCUAAGGUAGCGAAAUUCCUUGUCGGGUAAGUUCCGACCUGCACGAAUGGCGUAAUGAUGGCCAGGCUGUCUCCACCCGAGACUCAGUGAAAUUGAACUCGCUGUGAAGAUGCAGUGUACCCGCGGCAAGACGGAAAGACCCCGUGAACCUUUACUAUAGCUUGACACUGAACAUUGAGCCUUGAUGUGUAGGAUAGGUGGGAGGCUUUGAAGCGUGGACGCCAGUCUGCGUGGAGCCAACCUUGAAAUACCACCCUUUAAUGUUUGAUGUUCUAACGUUGGCCCCUGACCGGGGUUGCGGACAGUGUCUGGUGGGUAGUUUGACUGGGGCGGUCUCCUCCCAAAGCGUAACGGAGGAGCACGAAGGUUAGCUAAUCCUGGUCGGACAUCAGGAGGUUAGUGCAAUGGCAUAAGCUAGCUUGACUGCGAGCGUGACGGCGCGAGCAGGUGCGAAAGCAGGUCAUAGUGAUCCGGUGGUUCUGAAUGGAAGGGCCAUCGCUCAACGGAUAAAAGGUACUCCGGGGAUAACAGGCUGAUACCGCCCAAGAGUUCAUAUCGACGGCGGUGUUUGGCACCUCGAUGUCGGCUCAUCACAUCCUGGGGCUGAAGUAGGUCCCAAGGGUAUGGCUGUUCGCCAUUUAAAGUGGUACGCGAGCUGGGUUUAGAACGUCGUGAGACAGUUCGGUCCCUAUCUGCCGUGGGCGCUGGAGAAUUGAGGGGGGCUGCUCCUAGUACGAGAGGACCGGAGUGGACGCAUCACUGGUGUUCGGGUUGUCAUGCCAAUGGCACUGCCCGGUAGCUAAAUGCGGAAGAGAUAAGUGCUGAAAGCAUCUAAGCACGAAACUUGCCCCGAGAUGAGUUCUCCCUGAGACUUUAAGUCUCCUGAAGGAACGUUGAAGACGACGACGUUGAUAGGCCGGGUGUGUAAGCGCAGCGAUGCGUUGAGCUAACCGGUACUAAUGAACCGUGAGGCUUAACCU